AAUGAAUAAGGUUGUUUGGGCCAAAUGAAAGAAAACGAAAAAUAAACAACAGAGAAGGAAAAGAACUGAGUCAAGGAACUCAUGGAAUUCAAGCAAAAGAAACAACAAGGAAGGAACACUUAACCAACCUGACAAUCAAAUGGGAAACUGGUGAAUGAAACCACGAAUCAAGCAAGACAAACAAACAAAUGACUAAACAACAUUUGACCCCAAAUGCGUCUGUGUUAAAACCAAAAUUCAUCAAUCUUGAAAGAAAAGGAACAUGAGGCAAAGAAAAGAAGGGGAACAAUUAGAAAAAUGGAGAAAUUAAGGGAGAUAGAAGUACCUAAACAAAAACGGCGAAGACAGACUCAAGCUAAUCGAACCCACUCCUCUGAUUUGAACCAAAAAUGGGUGUUAAACGACUGUUAUUGUAAGAACGGUCGACUGACACUCGUUUCAGGCCCAAAUUGUCUUCAAAACGGGAGGACAUGAACCUAGGCCCUUGAAUGACGAGUUCAAGACUGGAAUGGAUUUAGGUAUGGAAUUUUAGAUCUAAUGUUCGGGACGUUUCAACAGGAUUUGAUGAAAGCUGGUCUGAGAUUUGGGGAGAGGGAGUCACGGUGAGUCCAUGGCCUAUUUUUUAUGGGGUUUGGCGAUGGCGCUGCCAGGUUUGCUGUGGUGGAGAAGAAGGGUGGUUAUCUAGGGAUAAGAGUUUGGGGGGUCUCUGAAAUGACGAAAUGAGGGAGAUGAUUG
rnacentral:lncRNA from 1 species